rnacentral:miRNA from 1 species
CGGGUUUCGUUAACAGCGGG